GAGGCCCGCGUACUCGGACCUGCAGCCGCCAUCUUGUUUCCCGUUUGAAGGAAGAGUCGGUUGCGAGGGAGAAGGUAGAGGGCGGGGCAGUGCGCGGCGGGCAGCGCUAUCUGCAUAUUCAUUAGGGGGCGGGGCCUCAGUGGGCCCGGAGGAGGUCUUCCCGGGACUUUGUUGGUGAGAGGUACAUUUGGAGAAGGAAGGCAUGAAGCAAAUGGCAUUUCCUGUUGGGAAUCUUUAUAGGAAAGGAGAACAAAAUCGAAAAAGCAACAUAAUGUAAUAGAAGUUAUCAGAGGCCCUGGAUUUCCAUGAGAUUGCCCAGAAACAGUGCCUGAGCUGAUGUUAAACCAAUCCAAGGCAGAGCGAUUAGUGGAAGUUGGAGAGCAGAAAAAGAAGUGGUUUCCCAAAAUGGGAACCAGGUGGCUAAAGGACAGACAGUCAAUACAAGAAGAGUCAAUGAGUAAUUGAACCAAAGGCUUGUGCACAGAGGCCCAGACAGUCAGAAUCCUGCCAAACACACAAAUACGGCCUCAGCUAGACUGUCCUUUAUCCAGGAGUCCUCCGCAUUUCACUCCCUACUUGAAGUUCUUGAGGACAGUUUGUCCCGAUUCUGACAAGGAGGCCUGUGGCCUGGAGAUGAUGCCAAUUACCAUUAAAAACAGGGCCCUUGCUUUGUGCUGUUCACUCCUGACAGUUUGGAUCUUGUAAUCUGAAGUCUAUUUACUAUUGGAGGAGCUGAACCACAGAGGUGUAGCAUGCUUUCUUGGAUACAAAUAAAAACAGAAAAUUUCCUUUUGCAGAAGGGAAAAACAAAGGGUCUGAGUAGCCAGGAGAUCUGGGGAUUGGUCCUGGCCUCUGUCCCCCUUUCAUUAACUCAUGGUAUGAUUUCAAACAUGUAAUUUCUCUCUGGGCUUCAGUCUCCUCAUCUUUGAAAACAAGGUUAUUGGAAUUCAGCAGUUUUCAACCUGCUCAGAAGGAUACACACAAACAUAUAUAUGUCAAAGUCCCACCGCAGAACUAUCUGGACCAAAAACCUGAGGGUAGCAUGCCAGCCUGUGUAUUUUUUCAAUGCCAUAGGAAUUCUAAUGAAUACUCCUAGAUAAGACCAUUGCAAUAAAUAAAUUCAAAGGUACCUUCUAGCUCUAG